UCAGACAGGGGUCUUUAAUGUAAUUGAAAUGUGUUCAGCAUUUCCAUGAUUUUUUCAUGCAUAGUUAUUUUUAGACUUGUUUACUUGGUUACUAAGCCAAUCAUAUUGUCGCAUUGGUUGAAAUGUGUGGUCACAUGACUAGUAGUUCUGUGCAGAACAUAUUAAUGACAGCUGGUCACAUGUACUUUUGGGAGGUGUCAUACGUUUUACAUGGUUGUUUAACAGUUUAAGGAUUGUUUGGAUUGUUUGGAUUCAUCACAGUUAAUACAGUUACUGCACAGAGAACAGUGUUUGUGUGAUAUCAGAUGUCAGUAGAAUGUAGGAAACAGAGGGGUACUUGUGUUACACAUAAGACUCAACACUCUCUUCCAGUAUAUUCCAUAUCCAUGGGAAUGAUGUAUUGUUUGUGUAAUUGUAUGAUGGACAAAAAAGUAAAUAAACAUUUAGUAAACUACCACUGAGUUCAGUCUUGUGACCCUGCUAGACAGGCAUCACAUCCGUGAUAGAAAACAACUGUAUAAAUAUUCAUUACUUUGUGUUUGAGAGGAACAAAUUGAAAUAAACGAAAAACAUGUU
rnacentral:lncRNA from 1 species